rnacentral:lncRNA from 1 species
AGCGGUCUCUGGUGCAGCAAUUUUCUUUUUGAAUUUCCAUUUUUUUUCUUUUUUCCUUUUGUUUUAAUGCCUGCGCGUGGUGCUCCUGCCAUACUCGAUAAGUUGGCUUCUAUAUUCUAUGGAUGAUAUGUUACAAAACUCUCACUUUUAUCGAGGUUUGGAUGGAUAGGAAUACUUGGAAGGGAGCUACUCUAGUUAUGUAACCAUUACCUACGGUCCCUUCUACUUGAAAAGAUGGUACUAUAGUGUUCCCACUAUUCCAAGCAAAGAAUAUAAUAAGGAAGCCUUAGAGCUCAAACUGGCUGCAAGUGUGAUGAGUAUGACUCUAGGAGGAACUAUUGAUCCUAGUUAGAAGGCUAGAAGGAUAAUUGAACUUAAGAUAUGAAGUUUAAGGAAUUAAUGGAAGAUGUGCACUUUUAGACAUUUGACAAGAGGAACGGAUGGAAUCAAGUGUAGCUUUAUCUUGCAACAUAAUUGUUGGGGGAAAUACAGUUUUCCCCCAGCAGUAUAGUAACCCCGCCCCUAAGAAGCCGCAUAACCGCC